UAGGAAGGUGUGGACAGCAGCCAGCCAGCGUGGAGCAGGACCAGAGAGAAGACAACCAGUGCUACCUAAGACAGAUAGUCCCAGCUGAUCUGUCCCAUCAGAGACCCCGAGAACAUCACACAGGUUUGAUCAGCUGUGAGGAGGCUGAGUGACCUAGUGGAGCCACCAGAGGUAAGCACAACAAAGUGUCAUGUCCAGGUAGUUGAAA